rnacentral:rRNA from 1 species
UAGGGAAUCUUCCACAAUGGACGCAAGUCUGAUGGAGCAACGCCGCGUGAGUGAAGAAGGUUUUCGGACCGUAAAGCUCUGUUGUUGGUGAAGAAGGAUAGAGGUAGUAACUGGCCUUUAUUUGACGGUAAUCAACCAGAAAGUCACGGCUAACUACGUGCCAGCAGCCGCGGUAAUACGUAGGUGGCAAGCGUUGUCCGGAUUUAUUGGGCGUAAAGCGAGCGCAGGCGGAAGAAUAAGUCUGAUGUGAAAGCCCUCGGCUUAACCGAGGAAUUGCAUCGGAAACUGUUUUCUCGAGUGCAGAAGAGGAGAGUAGAACUCCAUGUGUAGCGGUGGAAUGCGUAGAUAUAUGGAAGAAUACCAGUGGCGAAGGCGGCUCUCUGGUCUGCAACUGACGCUGAGGCUCGAAAGCAUGGGUAGCGAACAGGAUUAGAUACCCUGGUAGUCCAUGCCGUAAACGAUGAGUGCUAAGUGUUGGGAGGCUUCCGCCUCUCAGUGCUGCAGCUAACGCAUUAAGCACUCCGCCUGGGGGAGUACGACCGCAAGGUUGAAAC